UGUAAUUUCAUCCUAGUCAAUCUCAAUAUGUUUCGUUCGUUCAUGAAAGACCGAAUUCGAAGCUAUGUGUAGGGCUGCUUUAUUAUCACACCACAACUUUGCUGGUAACGAGAUUUUAAGACCAACCUCUUUUAGUAGCUGGUAUAUCCAAACUAUCUCACAUACAGAUUGCGCCAUGGCUCUGUAU